UAGCCAUGCAUGUCUAAGUAUAAGCAAUUAUACCGUGAAACUGCGAAUGGCUCAUUAAAUCAGUUAUCGUUUAUUUGAUAGUACCUUACCACUUGGAUAACCGUGGUAAUUCUAGAGCUAAUACAUGCUAAAAACCCCGACUUCGGAAGGGGUGUGUUUAUUAGAUAAAAAACCAAUGCCCUUCGGGGCUCUUUGGUGAUUCAUGAUAACCUAACGGAUCGCAUGGCCUUGCGCCGGCGACGGUUCAUUCAAAUUUCUGCCCUAUCAACUUUCGAUGGUAAGGUAUUGGCUUACCAUGGUUUCAACGGGUAACGGGGAAUUAGGGUUCGAUUCCGGAGAGGGAGCCUGAGAAACGGCUACCACAUCCAAGGAAGGCAGCAGGCGCGCAAAUUACCCAAUCCCGACACGGGGAGGUAGUGACAAUAAAUACUGAUACAGGGCUCUUUUGGGUCUUGUAAUUGGAAUGAGUACAAUUUAAACCCCUUAACGAGGAACAAUUGGAGGGCAAGUCUGGUGCCAGCAGCCGCGGUAAUUCCAGCUCCAAUAGCGUAUAUUAAAGUUGUUGCAGUUAAAAAGCUCGUAGUUGAAACUUGGGUCUGGCUAGCGGGUCCGCCUCACCGCGUGCACUUGUCCGGCUGGACCUUUCCUUCUGGAGAACCUCAUGCCCUUCACUGGGUGUGUUGGGGAACCAGGACUUUUACUUUGAAAAAAUUAGAGUGUUCAAAGCAGGCCUUUGCUCGAAUACGUUAGCAUGGAAUAAUAGAAUAGGACGUGCGGUCCUAUUUUGUUGGUUUCUAGGAUCGCCGUAAUGAUUAAUAGGGAUAGUCGGGGGCAUCAGUAUUCAAUUGUCAGAGGUGAAAUUCUUGGAUUUAUUGAAGACUAACUACUGCGAAAGCAUUUGCCAAGGAUGUUUUCAUUAAUCAGUGAACGAAAGUUAGGGGAUCGAAGACGAUCAGAUACCGUCGUAGUCUUAACCGUAAACUAUGCCGACUAGGGAUCGGGCGAUGUUUCUAUCUUGACUCGCUCGGCACCUUACGAGAAAUCAAAGUUUUUGGGU
rnacentral:rRNA from 6 species